rnacentral:miRNA from 1 species
GGGAUCUUGUUAAAAUGCAGACAUUGAUUCUGUAGGUCUGGGGUGGGGCCUGAGAUUCUGCAUUUCUAACAAGCUC